UUGGUUGCAAGACUAAGAAAGUAUCUCAAAGAAAGUAGUACUAACUCUUCAAAAAUUACUAUUUAGCAUGCAAAAAGCUUCCCUAAACAUAUCAAAUCACUCACAUGUAACACUCAAGUGUUUCAGUUUCCAAGAGAUGCAAUGAUGGCACUUUCGAAAGGAUGUUUGACGACCCUCAGUAGAACGAUAAGUAGACCUCGUCAGUAGUGAAUGGGUAGUCAUGCCCAGGAUACUCGAAAAAGUCGG
rnacentral:lncRNA from 1 species